GACGAACGCUGGCGGCGUGCUUAACACAUGCAAGUCGAACGGUAAGGCCCUUCGGGGUACACGAGUGGCGAACGGGUGAGUAACACGUGGGUGAUCUGCCCUGCACUUCGGGAUAAGCCUGGGAAACUGGGUCUAAUACCGGAUAGGACCACUGCCUGCAUGGGUGGUGGUGGAAAGCUUUUGCGGUGUGGGAUGGGCCCGCGGCCUAUCAGCUAGUUGGUGAGGUAAUGGCUCACCAAGGCGACGACGGGUAGCCGGCCUGAGAGGGUGACCGGCCACACUGGAACUGAGACACGGUCCAGACUCCUACGGGAGGCAGCAGUGGGGAAUAUUGCACAAUGGGCGAAAGCCUGAUGCAGCAACGCCGCGUGAGGGAUGAAGGCCUUCGGGUUGUAAACCUCUUUUAGCAGGGAAGAAGCGAAAGUGACGGUACCUGCAGAAAAAGCACCGGCUAACUACGUGCCAGCAGCCGCCGUAA
rnacentral:rRNA from 1 species